GGCAGUCUGGCCACAGACUCUUUGCUGCAGUGUGUUCUGGAGGCUGGGAAGUCCACAAUCAAAGCACUAGCAUAUGAUGUCUGAAAAAUUACACAACAGCCUCAGACUGGUCGGACCCUUCAGGAUGAAUUCCGGAAGAAGACAUUGCUGUCAUAGGAGAUGACAGCUCCAAGCGUUAUUACCCCUUCAUGAAGAUGUUUCAGUGGGACAAGAUGUGAAGGUGGAAGACAAUGAUAUUGAUGAUCCUGACCCUGUGCAAGCCUAAGCUAAUAUGUGUGUUUGUGUCUUAGUUUUUAACAAAAAGUUUAAAAAGCAGACAAAAAAAUUGUAAUAGAAAAAAAUGCUUACAGAAAAAGAAUAAAAAGAAACAAAUUUUUACAGCUGCUCAAUGUGUUUGUGUUCUAAGCUAAGAGUUAUUACAAAAGCGUCCAAAACUUUAAAAAAAAUUAAAUUGUAUAAAGUGAAAACGUUUUAGUAAGCUAAGGUUUACUUGUUAUUGGAGAAAGAAAAAUAUUUUUAUAAAUUUUGCAUAGCCUAUGUAUGCAGUGUUUAUAAAGUCCAAGGUAGUUACAGUAAUGUCCUAGGCCUUCAUAUUCACUCACUCUGACUUAUUGAAUCACCCAGAGCAAUUUCCAAUCCUGUAAGCUCCAUUUAUGGUAAUUUCCCUAUUUAGAUAUACCAUAUUUUAUCUUUUUAAUUAUAUUUUUACUGUAACUUUUCUAUGUUUAGAUAUACAAAUACUUACCAUUAUGUUACAAUUGCCCAUAGUAUUCAGUAUAGUAGCAUUCCAUACAGGUAGCCUAGGAGCAAUAGGCUCUACAAUAUAAUCUAUGUGUGUAGUAGACAUACCUGCCAGGUUUGUUAAGUUCCCUCUGACGUUUGCAAAAAACAAAAUUGCUUAAGGACACAUUUCUUAGAGUGUAUCCAUGUUGUGAAGAAAUGCAGGUCUACUUUUAUACUCCUGGCACUAGGCUUGUUUGCACCGGCAUCACCACAAAUAUGUGAGUAAUACAUUGUGAUACAAUGUAGGCAAUAGGAAUUUUUCAGCUCCAUUGUUAUGGAUCCCCUGUUGUAUAUGAGGUCCAUCAUUGUCCAAUAUGGCAUUAUGUGUUGCAUGAUUGCACAUAGAGUUAUCACAUGACCCAGAAAUUCCACUUCUAGGUAUACACCCAAAUGAAUUGAAAAUAGAUGUUCAACAAAAAGACAUACACAAAUGUUCACAGCAGCAGCAUUCAUAGCAAGCAAAAGCCACCUAAAUGGCCACCAACCCAAUAAUGAAUGAAAACAUGAUAUAUUUAUACAAUGGUAUAUUACUGAGCCAUAAAAAAAUUCAUACAUGCUAACAAAAUGGAUUAACCUUAUAAAACAUGCUAAUAGGAAGAAGCCAGUUACAAAAGGCCAAAUGUAGGAUUAUCUUUAUUUGGAAAGUACAGAAUAGCAAAUCGGUAGAGACAGAAAGUAGAUCAGUGGUUUCCCAGAGUUAAUGGGAGGAGGUAUACAAAGUGACUACUAACAGGUAUAGGGUUUCUUUCUAGAAUGAGAAAACUGUUCAAGAAUUGGAUGGUGGUCAUGUUCCAUAACUUGUAAAUAUACAAAAAUAUUUAAUUCUACAUUUUCAAAUAGGGUAUUUUAUGGUAUAUGUAUUAUAGUAAAAUACUUUUUAAAAUGUAUAAAUGGUUUAUUUUUAGAAGUUGUAGAAAUAGCAAUGUAAAUGGAAUAUGAUUUGUUUCCCCUCUUAUCUGCUUGAAAAUAUAAUCUGUGUCCUUUGUAAUAUCAUCAAAAGUCUUGUUCUAGGUCAAUUUGCUAAAAAUAUAUAUGUUCUAUGAUCAGUUCACUAAAUGUCUAGAUGACAAAAAAAAAGUAGACAAAAAUCUAUACCUAGAUUUAACAGAGUUAACCACAGGAAUUUUGCUAUAAAAGAGGAAUGGGAUACAGACAAAUUCAGACACAGAAAUGUAAAAAUAGAGAAAAUAGUAAAAUAUUUUUAAGAGAAACCAUUGGGAGAUAUACCUAAUGCUAGAUGAUGAGUUAGUGGGUGCAGCGCACCAGCACGGCACAUGUAUACAUAUGUAACUAACCUGCACAAUGUGCACAUGUACCCUAAAACUUAAAGUAUAAUAAAAAAAAAAAAGAGAAACCUCAUCCAUUCACAUGAAAAACAUUAAAUAUCUGAGAAAUGUUUAGAGUCUAAAAUGUGAAAUAUAUGUGAAGUUAAAGUUGAAUCUAACUGGAUUAAGAAAUACCCAGCUAAAUUUUUUUGGUGAUGUAACUGUACUUGAGAAAAAAAUCCAUAGUAGUUCAGAGACUUGGUCUUUUUGUUACCUCUGGUGUUAGCCAAAUUGGGGUGGAGUGAGGAAUUUGCUUGUGUCUGUAACACCUCAGAGAGGCAUGACCCAACCAGCCCAAACUGUGACUGAGAUCUGAGUACUACUGAGUGAAUUUCUGAAAAAAAAAAAAAAAAAAAAAAAAUUCUAGAGAAAUAAAGGAGAUAACUUAUAGUAUUAAAAUCUAGAAAGUGCCACACCUAUUGUAACUGCUGCUACUGCAUUUCUUUGUGGUUAUUUUGUAUAUGUCUAAGGUAUCUUUGUAAAUGUUAAAACCAAGAAUAAAUCACUUAAAACCAAGAAUAUCUUGUAAUAAAGAGAAGAAUGUAUGUUACCCAUUAUAGGAAGCAUGAGAACAAAUAAUAUAAGAGGUAUGGAGCAUCAUUUUUAAAUUAAGAAUUAUUUAGGCAAGUAGGCUGAUUAAUAUUAACGUGGCAGUGGAGAUCAUUAAUUGUCCCUUUCAAAGCUGUCAUCAUCUCUUUGUUUUCAGACAGCUGCAUAUGCCUUGUUCUCCAAUUCCGUUCUGAGAGCCUUUUGAGGCACUUCAGUUCUGUUUGUUAUGCCGCGGAAAGAAGUGUGGCAGCAUGUAUAAACUCCAGAGGUUCACAAUAUCAAAUGGGAAGCAGCUGCUACGUAGAUAAAAGUGUUUGUAGAGCCUUUUGUCUAGGAGCCAGGGGGACGUAGGGAUUAUGUCUUUGGCAUAAGAGUAGCAAUAUAAUGCAGGGAUAUAUGGCAUAAAGUAGGUGAAGAUUCACUGCUCUCUUGCUUUAAGUGAAUCGAUAGCAUUAGGCUAAAUGUGCCUAUUCUUCCUCCU
rnacentral:lncRNA from 10 species